CGGAAAAAGUUGGGUUUUUCAGUUUCCCCGCUAAAAAUCCUUUACGCCAAGCAUGGGUCGAUAAGGUGAAAAGGAAAGAUUGGAAUCCUUCGAAAAGGUCAAAGCUCUGUUCGGCACACUUUGAAGCCUGCUGUUUUGUCCAAAACCCCGGAGUCCUGAAAUCUUUAGGAUGGCGACCAACCAGGUUAAGGUUAAAGAAAGACGCAAUACCAACGAUCUUCGACUAUUCGAGGUCGAAAGUUGGUGAUAAACGGAAACCGGACGCAACUAGAAACGCGUAUGCAAAGCGCAGAAAAUUAGAGAUAAUAAACGAAGCUCUUGAGAACUCCGUGGAAAACAUUGAGCAGCCUGACGAGGACGAAAAUACAUCAAAAACAUGUUCGUUUUUUUUGGGUGGACAACUGGACUCAAGAGAUAAAUGUAACAUAAGUGACAAUGGAACACAAACUGACAAAGUGGGACAGAAACCGAAAUUA